rfam:Triticum aestivum genome assembly, contig: Triticum_aestivum_CS42_TGACv1_scaffold_640925_T_5DL-0.136796_7BL-0.126109
UUUAUACUCCCUCGGUCCCAAAAUUCUUGUCUUAGAUUUGUCCAAAUACGGAUGUAUCAAGUUUCAUUUUGGUAUUAGGUACACUCAUAUCUAGACAAAUGUAAGACAAGAAUUUUGGGACGGGGGAGUACUUA